rnacentral:lncRNA from 1 species
CCAUCAGCUCAAUGACAUCAUCACCCUCACAGUCCAUCCGUCCAAUCAUCUCCAUGGCCACUCAUGGUCCAUCUGUCCAAUAUCCGUGUCCAACAGAGUUCCAGAACAUUCUGAGGGUCCCACCAGCUCAAUGGCAUCAUCACCCUCAUGGUCCAUCCAUCCAAUCAUCUCCAUGGCCACUCAUGGUCCAUGUGUCCAUCCAAUCAUCUCCAUGGCCACUCAUGGUCCGUCCAUCCAAUCAUCUCCAUGGCCACUCAUGGUCCGUCCGUCCAAUCAUCUCCAUGGCCACUCAUGGUCCAUGUGUCCAU